rnacentral:rRNA from 1 species
CCUACGGGAGGCAGCAGUGAGGAAUAUUGGUCAAUGGACGAGAGUCUGAACCAGCCAAGUAGCGUGAAGGAUGACUGCUCUAUGGGUUGUAAACUUCUUUUAUAUGGGAAUAAAACGUUCCACGUGUGGGAUUUUGUAUGUACCAUAUGAACAAGGAACGGCUAACCCCGUGCCAGCAGCCGCGGUAAUACGGAGGAUCCGAGCGUUAUCCGGAUUUAUUGGGUUGAAAGGGAGCGUAGGGGGGUUGUUAAGUCAGUUGUGAAAGUUUGCGGCUCAACCGUCAAAUUGCAGUUGAAACUGGCAGUCUUGAGUACAGGAGAGGUGGGCGGAAUUCGUGGUGUAGCGGUGAAAUGCUUAGAUAUCACGAAGAACACCGAUUGCGAAGGCAGUUCCCUGGACUGCAACUGACACUGAGGCUCGAAAGUGUGGGUAUCAAACAGGAUUAGAUACCCUUGUAGUC